rnacentral:rRNA from 1 species
CACGUAGGGGGCAAGCGUUGUCCGGAUUUAUUGGGCGUAAAGAGCUCGUAGGCGGUUCGGUAAGUCGGGUGUGAAACCUCCAGGCUCAACCUGGAGAGGCCACCUGAUACUGCUGUGACUCGAGUCCGGUAGGGGAGCGUGGAAUUCCUGGUGUAGCGGUGGAAUGCGCAGAUAUCAGGAGGAACACCGGUGGCGAAGGCGGGAUCCUGGACCGGCAUUGACGCUGAGGCGCGAAAGCCAGGGGAGCAAACGGG